GCCUGGGUGGCUCAGUGGUUGAGCAUCUGCCUUCAGCUCAGGUCGUGAUCCUGGGUCGGGGGAUCGAGUCCCAUAUUGGGCU
rnacentral:tRNA from 1 species